CAGCUACAACAAAAAAAUAAUAAUACAGUAAGAGCUUCGAGUACAGCUGAAGGUGUUUACCUAUAAGGAAGUCAGGACUGCUAAUUCGGAUGCUUGUAGGCGUUAUCCUGACACUAGUUUUGUUACAGAAAUAAACGUGUAAUAAUAAACAGCCAACAUGAUUGUGUUACUGGUUCCGCUGACUCUAAUUCUGAAUUGUCAAAGGGUCGCAGCAAUCCUCUGUUAUGAAUGUAGAACUUCUUCUCCGCCUACGCCAAAUCAUUUGUGCCCCAGUGAAUAUGAUAUACAAAACAUAAGCGCUCUUCCCAAAACAAAUUGCACCCGAACCAGUUAUUGUGCUGAAGUGUCUUACGAAUCACCAAGGGGCACAAAAACGUUUGUGGGAAAGAACUGCCUGGGUGGUUAUAGCCUAGCAUCCCACAGAGAAAACAAUCCUAGCCCCGGCUGCGAACUAAGCCUUGGUGGCGGAUCUCGAUACGUUUACUGUUUAUGCAAUACUGAUCUAUGCAACAAUCGAACAAUACUGGAGCUAAUCGCCGCACGAUCCGCUUACAACAAAUGCUACACCCUUUUGCCAUUCUUGACGGCUACGGCAAUCACUGCUCUGACUGCAGGGAAAUAGGCCUACUGUAGCGUCGGGAACAAGUUAGACCACAGAUAGAUGGGCAUCCUCGAUCGCAGUGGCAACCAGGAUGAUUUAGCUGAGCGGGUGCGCAAGAAUUUGCUGGAGCGGGCAUCAUUCAACCAGGAAGUGGACGGCAAAGCCGCAGCCUUCACCGACCUUUACACACUCUCAACCGACCGCCCGUUCGCAGGCAGCGAUUUCGCAUAAAGCUAGGGCGUCAAAGUUGCGCGCAAGUCGGUAGCCGGUGGUUAAAUUCGGCCCUAGUGUUAUUUUGCAAUAUUCCUCACUACGGCUCCAUCGAGCCUUCCGCCCCUGCUGUGAUUCCCACUGGCAGCACUACUUAAGUCGUCGUCUGUGAUAUUAUUACACUAUGUCGUUACUAUGGUUGUAACUUGUACCGUUUUGCUUUAAGGCUGGAGAAAAUAUUUUGUAAAAUCUGGUUUUUUCCAGGAUUACGCGGUUUUACUUACUGCAUUGUAACAACUACGGCUCUUCCCGUAUCUGUAACGUGUAUUGUAAUAAUUAACGACGUUCAAAACAAAUGAGUUUGUGGCAGAGUUAUCCACACAACUGUUGUUUUGGAGCUAGAUUGUAGUAUUUGCAAUAACAACUGUCAGAUAAAAAAAUUAAAGCUAGUGAAUGCCAACUUUUGUACUACCUGGCCGCUACAUAGGUAUAUCGAAGCACCUGACUGCUUAAGGACGUCUCGCUAACCUUCAUAUUCCAUGUUAAAAAAUUGCUUUUGUCGAAAGAAGAUGAGCUGGAAGCCGUUCGUAUCAGUAACGAUUAUUCUGAUAUUAUCCUACGAAGGGACUGCGCUUAAAUGCUACCAUUGUGAAUACGUAAGCGGAGACGUGCCGGAUGACGAGUACUGGGAAGAUAAGAAAACGAACUGCCUGAAUAGCAAGACCAUGGAUUGUGAUCCCAGACCGUGACAGCCCAAGUGGUUGCUGGACAUUUCGUCGUGGGACAUUUCGCCACACGUUUUUCGUCGCAGCGGCUAAUUUGUUUUGGGAUAACUCGUUUUGAAACCGUUUUAUUGUGUGACACUUGGUCGCACGACUUUCGCGGAGUCGAAAAAAUAUCGACUGGUUUAUGGCAACGAACAGUCAUAUGACUGUUUGCCACAAAAACGACUUGUCCUUAGACGAAAUGUCCGUAAAACCAAAUGUCCCGCGACGACCUGUCGCGUAGCCAUCCAGACAUAAUUAGUUGUGUAAACGCAACGCUGUUUUACUCCCGCCGUAAGUUUCUUUUGAAAACUUGUUUCAACUCUUUCGUGUAAUAUGAAUUUUUCGGUAGGAUGAUGCCUCUAAAUCUUUACUUUGGGGGAAUUUAAUGCAUUUUAUGAUCAAACUGUACUGCAGUACCAUGGCUUGGGUUGACUGCUUUGUAAACGCUUUGGGCGCGGAACAGCAUUCCAUUCAGCAACAAGACACCGCUAAAUUUCGCCGAGGUUAGCUAGUCACAUAAUAUUUGGUCGCAGACACGUCGCGGCUAAUUAAACUCGCCGCUCGUGUUAUCGUAAGAGGAGAGGGAAUUUGGGGACGGUGUAAACGUUAGGGACCAAAGAAUCCGCAUCAACCUAUUCACUG